rnacentral:rRNA from 1 species
AUUGAACGCUGGCGGCAUGCCUUACACAUGCAAGUCGAACGGCAGCGGGGACUUCGGUCCGCCGGCGAGUGGCGAACGGGUGAGUAAAGCAUCGGAACGUGCCCUGAAGUGGGGGAUAACGUAGCGAAAGUUACGCUAAUACCGCAUAUUCUGUGAGCAGGAAAGCAGGGGAUCUUCGGACCUUGUGCUUUAGGAGCGGCCGAUGUCGGAUUAGCUAGUUGGUGAGGUAAAGGCUCACCAAGGCGACGAUCCGUAGCGGGUCUGAGAGGAUGAUCCGCCACACUGGGACUGAGACACGGCCCAGACUCCUACGGGAGGCAGCAGUGGGGAAUAUUGGACAAUGGGCGCAAGCCUGAUCCAGCCAUGCCGCGUGUAGUGAAGAAGGCCUUUUGGUUGUAAAGCACUUUAAGCGAGGAGGAGGCUACUUGGAUU